GACGAACGCUGGCGGCGUGCUUAACACAUGCAAGUCGAACGGAAAGGCCCUGCUUUUGUGGGGUGCUCGAGUGGCGAACGGGUGAGUAACACGUGAGUAACCUGCCCUUGACUUUGGGAUAACUUCAGGAAACUGGGGCUAAUACCGGAUAGGAGCUCCUGCUGCAUGGUGGGGGUUGGAAAGUUUCGGCGGUUGGGGCUGGACUCGCGGCUUAUCAGCUUGUUGGUGGGGUAGUGGCUUACCAAGCCUUUGACGGGUAGCCGGCCUGAGAGGGUGACCGGCGACAUUGGGACUGAGAUACGGCCCAGACUCCUACGGGAGGCAGCAGUGGGGAAUAUUGCACAAUGGGCGGAAGCCUGAGGCAGCAACGCCGCGUGCGGGAUGACGGCCUUCGGGUGGUAAACCGCUUUCGCCUGUGACGAAGCGUGAGUGACGGUAAUGGGUAAAGAAGCACCGGCUAACUACGUG
rnacentral:rRNA from 1 species